rnacentral:rRNA from 1 species
GACGAACGCUGGCGGCGUGCUUAACACAUGCAAGUCGAACGAAGCAUGAUUACGGAUUUUUCGGAUGAAGUAUGAUAUGAAUGAGUGGCGGACGGGUGAGUAACGCGUGAGUAACCUGCCUUACACAGGGGGAUAGCGUUUGGAAACGAACGGUAAUACCGCAUAAUGUAUUUUGAGCGCAUGAUAGAAUUAUCAAAGAUUUAUCGCUGUAGGAUGGACUCGCGUCUGAUUAGGUAGUUGGUGGGGUAACGGCCUACCAAGCCGACGAUCAGUAGCCGGAGUGUGAGGGUGUGCAGCCACAUAGUGACAGAGACACGGGCCAGACACCUACGGGAGGCAGCAGUGUGGAAUAUUGCACAAUGGGCGCAAGCCUGAGGCAGCAACGCCGCGUGAAGUAAGACGGUUUUCGGAGUGUAAACUUCUGUUCUUAGUGAAGAAAAAUGACGGUAGCUAAGGAGCAAGCCACGGCUAACUACGUG